rnacentral:misc_RNA from 1 species
AAGUCGUAACAAGGUAACCGUAGGUGAACCUGCGGUUGGAUCAUUAACAAUUAUUAUUGAGCCUCCCUCCCCCCCACCGGGCGGGUAGGUUCUCUAACACUUGUGUGCACUGUUUAUUGUCUCUCGGCGUUCGAGGGUUGGGUAGCAGAGCUUGCUCUGAUGCCCUUGGGCUUUACGGCCUUGAUCUACCCUUGAGCGCCAACCUAAAACUUGAUUUUGUAUUUAUACUUUAAGCCUUUAAUUUUAAAUUUAUAAUUUGAAAACAACUUUUAACAACGGAUCUCUAGGCUCUCA